GGCGCUCUCGGGAUAGUCCUGGGAGCACACCUCUCUGAGUAUCGCCUACACCUCAACUCAGCCCUUUGCGGCUGGAGAAUGAGAGUCUGAGCACGGCUUAAUUGACCGAGCUCAGUCUCUUGAAAGUGAUGGAGCUCAGAGCCUCUGUGAUGCCUGCUACUGCUUCGGCAUUAGCUAGCCUCAGCAGCUGCUACUACACAAGACUAAGCUUAGUCAAGUGACGUGGAUAAUAGUUGAGAGCCUUCGGGCACUCUACUCUGAUACGUCUGCUCAGCUAAUGCUUCUGAUUUGAGUGGUAGAUUAACGGUUGUUGUGUGUGAAAGCAACUCAGUGCUCUAAGUGUCAGAAUUGAAUGGUUAGUAACUUCGGUUGCUAGCUCUCUGUUGAGAUCUCAGAUGAAGUGAGAAGACCCCCUGAAUUUAAGCAUAUUAAUAAGGGGAGGAAAAGAAACUAACUAGGAUUCCCUCAGUAACGGCGAGUGAAGCGGGAAUAGCUCAAGUUGAGAAUCGGGUAGCCAUGCGGUUCCCCGAGUUGUAAGCUAGAGACGUGUGAUCAGCGUGUGGCGCAGGUUGGAGUCCUUUGGAACAAGGCAUCACAGAGGGUGAGAAUCCCGUCCUGGGCCUGUCCGCCGCCGCGUACGAUGCAUGUUCAACGAGUCGAGUUGUUUGGGAUUGCAGCUCUAAGCAGGUGGUAAGUCUCAUCGAAAGCUAAAUAUAGGCGAGAGACCGAUAGCGAACAAGUACCGUGAGGGAAAGAUGAAAAGAACUUUGAAAAGAGAGUUAAACAGUACUUGAAAGUGCUAAGAGGGAAGCGCUGGAAGCCAGUGUGUGGACUAGCCAUCUUUUCCAACAGGCACGGGGAGCAUGCGGGCAGGUGUGGGUAACCCACUUGUCAGUAGUCGACUCGGGUCUGUUGGCUCCUGUGGUUAGUCCGAGGUCAGAAUCCAUUCGAAUCGGGGGAGACAGCUAGCAGGAAGGUAGGGUCUAGCAAUAGAUCUGUUAUAGCCUGUUAGCAAUACCUCGGCUUGGAUGGAGGCAACAUGAAAUAGAGCGCCACUAGGCGUGGCGGUUAGGUCCUGCUGGUUCAUUAGCGCUUGGAUAGCAAUC
rnacentral:rRNA from 1 species